rnacentral:rRNA from 1 species
UACGUAGGGGGCGAGCGUUAUCCGGAAUCACUGGGCGUAAAGGGUGCGUAGGCGGCCAAUAAAGUCUGGGGUGAAAGGCUACGGCUCAACCGUAGUAAGCCUUGGAAACUUAUUGGCUUGAGUGCAGGAGAGGAGAGUGGAAUUCCUAGUGUAGCGGUGAAAUGCGUAGAUAUUAGGAGGAACACCAGUGGCGAAGGCGACUCUCUGGACUGUAACUGACGCUGAGGCACGAAAGCGUGGGGAGCGAACAGGAUUAGAUACCCUGGUAGUCCACGCCGUAAACGAUGAGUGCUAGGUGUCGGAGUCGACAGGCUUCGGUGCCGCAGCUAACGCAUUAAGCACUCCGCCUGGGGAGUACGGUCGCAAGACUGAA